GGAGUCUGGUCCGUGUCUCAGUCCCAAUGUGGCCGUUCAACCUCUCAGUCCGGCUACUGAUCGUCGACUUGGUGGGCCGUUACCUCACCAACUAUCUAAUCAGACGCGAGCCCAUCUUUCAGCGAUAAAUCUUUGGUUGCAUGGAGAUGCCUCCUCGCAACGUUAUGCGGUAUUAGCAGUCGUUUCCAACUGUUGUCCCCCCUCUGAAAGGCAGGUUGCUCACGUGUUACUCACCCGUCCGCCACUAAGUUAAGAAAGCAAGCUCUCUUAACUCCGUUCGACUUGCAUGUGUUAGGCGCGCCGCCAGCGUUCGUC
rnacentral:rRNA from 1 species